UUGAAAUUCUGAUUCUCAUAUGAUCACCAUAGUUAAACAAUGUAAAGCCUGGUCAGUACUUAGAGGGGUGACCACUUGUGAAUACCAGGUGUUGUA